UGUUUUCCAAACUUAUACCACAUGUUCGGACCGCUCUCGACGCAGCCUCCUUUAUUACUUUAUUGAUAACGUUGAUCGAUCGUUAUUGCAGGUGCCGCUUCAACAAUGAGAGUUGAAUCGUGAAUCGAUCGUUUGUUGACGAGUGAAUAAUCUACAAAAAAUGAUUGACAGGCAAUGGUGGUCAAGUAAACAGGGAAACCCAGACUUCAGGAGUCGACGAUCGAUCUUCAAAAGACCAUGAAGCAAAUUAGCACUGUUGACUACUCACCACGUCCACUGGUAGCUACCUGCUCAAAGACGAUAAGAAACUGAGGCUUGUCGUAUCGGAUAUCUCCAGGUACCACGACGAGCACAGAUAGGACAAGAUCAUGAGGAUUAGGAUGUUCAGGGAGCUGUUGGAUAGACCUGCCGAUCCGGUCUGCAUGGCUGCUGGCCUCUCUCCUGGAAAAAGAAACACAUUUUGAAUAAUGACUCAAUGGAACAAGGCGUAUGGAAAGGAUUCGUGUCGUUGAAAUUGGACUGUGCUUCAUCUUCUGGAGGAGAUCUGUAGUGAUGGAAUUUAUCCAGGACUGUGCUUCAUCUUCUGGAGGAGAUCUGUAGAGAUGGAAUUUAUCCAGGUGAAUCUCCAACAAGACGCAAGAGUUCCCAACGAACAAUGGGAGAAGAGGAAUGGACCAAAUUUUUUCGAACUCUAACAAUAAUGUCAUUAUUUGUGUCAAUUAACUUGAAUAAAUUUUCUGUUUGAA